GUAGGUGGCAAGCGUUGUCCGGAAUUAUUGGGCGUAAAGCGCGCGCAGGCGGUUCUUUAAGUCUGAUGUGAAAGCCCACGGCUCAACCGUGGAGGGUCAUUGGAGACUGGAGAACUUGAGUACAGAAGAGGAAAGCGGAAUUCCACGUGUAGCGGUGAAAUGCGUAGAGAUGUGGAGGAACACCAGUGGCGAAGGCGGCUUUCUGGUCUGUAACUGACGCUGAGGCGCGAAAGCGUGGGGAGCAAACAGGAUUAGAUACCCUGGUAGUCCACGCCGUAAACGAUGAGUGCUAAGUGUUAGGGGGGUUUUCCGCCCCCCUUAGUGCUGCAGCUAACGCAUUAAGCACUCCGCCUGGGAGUACGGCCGCAAGGCUG
rnacentral:rRNA from 1 species